rnacentral:rRNA from 1 species
GACGAACGCUGGCGGCGUGCUUAACACAUGCAAGUCGAACGGAAAGGCCCUGCUUUUGUGGGGUGCUCGAGUGGCGAACGGGUGAGUAACACGUGAGUAACCUGCCCCUGACUUUGGGAUAACUUCAGGAAACUGGGGCUAAUACCGGAUAGGAGCUCCUGCUGCAUGGUGGGGGUUGGAAAGUUUCGGCGGUUGGGGAUGGACUCGCGGCUUAUCAGCUUGUUGGUGGGGUAGUGGAGUACCAAGGCUUCGACGGGUAGCCGGCCUGAGAGGGUGACCGGCUACAUUGGGACUGGGGUACGGCCCAGAGUCCUACGGGAGGCAGCAGUGGGGGAUUUUGGACAAUGGGCGGAAGCCGGAUGCAAGAACGUCGGGUGGGAAAUGACGGCCUUCGGGUAGGAACACGCUUUUGCGUAUGACGAAGCGUGAGUAACGUUACUGGGUAAAGAAGCACGGGUAAACUCCGU